rnacentral:rRNA from 1 species
UGAGGAAUAUUGGACAAUGGGCGAGAGCCUGAUCCAGCCAUGCCGCGUGCAGGAAGACGGCCCUAUGGGUUGUAAACUGCUUUUAUACGGGAAGAAACACUCCUUCGUGAAGGAGCUUGACGGUACCGUAAGAAUAAGGAUCGGCUAACUCCGUG